GAUGAACGCUGGCGGCGUGCCUAAUACAUGCAAGUCGAGCGAACAGACGAGGCGCUUGCUCCUCUGACGUUAGCGGCGGACGGGUGAGUAACACGUGGAUACCCUACCUAUAAGACUGGGAUAACUUCGGGAAACCGGCGCUAAUCCCGGAUAAUCUAUUGAACCGCAUGGUUCAAUAGUGAAAGACGGCUUUGCUGUCACUUAUAGCUGGAUCCGCGCCGCAUGAGCUAGUUGGUAAGGUAACGGCUUACCAAGGCAACGAUGCGUAGACGACGUGAGAGGGGGAUAGGCCACAUGGGAACGGAGACAGGGUCCAGACUCCUACGGGAGGCAGCAGUAGGGAAUGUGCCGCAAUGGGCGAAAGCCUGACGGAGUAACGCCGCGUGAGUGAUGAAGGUCUUCGGAUCGUAAAACUCGGUUAUUAGGGAAGAACAAAUGUGUAAGGAACUAUGCACGUCGUGACGGUACCUAAUCAGAAAGCCACGGCUAACUACGUG
rnacentral:rRNA from 1 species